UGGCUGUGUCUAUGUGUGUUUCCUUCUGUUGCUUCUAUUCUGCUCCACUGGUCUUCCUCUCUGUCUUUGGGCCAGUACAAAGCUGUUUUGAUAACAACU